AGGUUGGGAGAGGUAGCAAUGCUCGGAGUUCAUGUGGUAUUGCACUUGUCCCGGCCUGU
rnacentral:pre_miRNA from 1 species